CCACUAUGGAGGUGCCCAAGGCACAGAGGAGCCCCGUCCACAGGAUCACCUGGUUAUGCCACUUUCGGACGCCCCAGUCCCGAAGCUGGUAGUAACGGAGAAUGCAGAUCCAGGCGGCUGGGAGGAGAGGAAUUGGGGACGCGGGUUCCACCUCUGGUCCCAGCAGAUCCCACCUGCUGCCGGGGACAAAACCCGCGGGUGCGCCACAACUCCUGAGCCUGCUGCAACUACUGAAGCCCAAGCACCUAAAGCCGACAUUCUGCAGCCAGAGCAGCCACCACAAGGAAGAGUCCCCGCUCACCCGCUCACCGCAGCUAGAGAAAGCCCGCAGACAGCAGCCAGGACCCAGCACAGCCUAACAUGAGUCAAUAAACAGAAGAACACAGACACACUCACACGGUCCAGAUGCCAGCAAUAGCCCAGAAGGCCAGGCACAUGGGCAGCAGAGACAAGUAUCCCCACAUGCCGGGGUCUGCAGGGGAGGAGAGGGGAAGGGACUGAGGUCAACACUGCCUCUGCGUCUCUGUCUCGGAACAGCUCUCGGCUUCCUGGCUUCCUCCUUUCUCACUACUCAGGUGCCUGGGCCCUGGCACCCUCCUGCGUCCCCAGAACCCGGGAGUCCAGGCCCCCGGCCCGUCUGCCCUCAGACCCAGGGAGUGUAUCCUCCCUGAGAUGCAGAAGUGCCAGCCACCCGCUCCCUCAGCUCCCCACCUCUUUUGAUUUUUUAAUAAUUGAAAUAAAUUUCACAUGAUUAACCAUUUCACUUUA